rnacentral:rRNA from 1 species
GACACGCUGGCGGCGUGCCUAACACAUGCAAGUCGAGCGAAGAAUACAUAAAGAAAUCUUCGGAUGGAAUUAUGUAUUUCUUAGCGGCGGACGGGUGAGUAACGCGUGAGGAACCUGCCUUGUACUAGGGGAUAGCCUCGGGAAACCGGGAUUAAUACCCUAUGACACUUGAAAGUCGCAUGACUUUCAAGUCAAAGCGAUUUAGCGGUACAAGAUGGCCUCGCGUCCCAUUAGCUAGUUGGCGAGGUAAUAGCUCACCAAGGCGACGAUGGGUAGCCGGCCUGAGAGGGUGAACGGCCACACUGGAACUGAGACACGGUCCAGACUCCUACGGGAGGCAGCAGUGGGGAAUAUUGCACAAUGGAGGAAACUCUGAUGCAGCGACGCCGCGUGAGCGAUGAAGGUUUUCGAAUCGUAAAGCUCUGUCCUAAGGGACGAUAAUGACGGUACCUUAGGAGGAAGCCCCGGCUAACUACGUG